CGUCAAAUCAUCAUGCCCCUUAUGACCUGGGCUACACACGUGCUACAAUGGGCGGUACAGCGGGUUGCGAAGCCGCGAGGUGGAGCCAAUCCCUAAAAGCCGCUCUCAGUUCGGAUUGCAGGCUGCAACUCGCCUGCAUGAAGCCGGAAUCGCUAGUAAUCGCGGAUCAGCAUGCCGCGGUGAAUACGUUCCCGGGCCUU
rnacentral:rRNA from 1 species